rnacentral:lncRNA from 1 species
AUGAGCAUAGCAAAGGGUUGGUUGGGUUGGGUGCAAAGCAGGCUCGUCUGUUGCAGCCAAAACAGUGCGGCAGCAAGUUGGCCAAAUCGAGUAUUAUCAGCUGGUAGUAAGAGUUUAAUUUUUUAUUCUUUCAUUCAUUGGCUAUACAACAACCCUUAUUCAGGAUCUGCGGAGGAGCCGGGAGGGCACCGGGGCGAGAGCUGGGCACCCCCGGAACCCCCCGCACACCUGCCCCGGAACCUGCGAGGAGAGCCCCAGCAUCCCGGCCUGGAGGGGAGCGGCAUCCCGCCGGCAUCACCGCUCCGGGGAGCAUCUCCCGCCGUGCCUGCGGGAGCGCGAGGGGAGUCUCCUCCUUCCCUCCCUGCCUCCCCCUCUGCUCUCUCCUCCCUCCCGCUGCCUGCAGCCGCAGCGCAGGGCAGGAGGGAGCGGCGGCGGCAGGCAGAGCCGCCCGGCCCGGCGGAGGCAGGAGGGCGGGCGGGCGGUGGCUGUUCCCCGGCCCCGCCGCCCCAGCCCCGGCCCGGCCGCGCCGCCGGCAGGCUCCGCCCGGCGCUCCCAUGGCGCGGCGGCUCCGCGCCAGGUGAGGCUGCGCUGCCUGUUGCGCCGAGCCGAGCCGAACCGCGCCGAGCUGAGUCGCGCCGCGAAGUUUUGCGGGAGGCGCCGCCGCUCUGCGAUGUGUGUUUUUAAGAAGAGUUUUGACCAUGAGAAAGUCCACAUGUUAGUCAAUUUUUACUAAUCCCACCGAAGAAAAUGAAGCCGCACUUCAGCUUUGCCGAUCCUUUUCCCACCACCGUUGGCUGAAUGAGAAAUGGUCGUGU